rnacentral:rRNA from 1 species
UACGAAGGGGGCUAGCGUUGCUCGGAAUCACUGGGCGUAAAGCGCACGUAGGCGGGUUGCCAAGUCGGGGGUGAAAUCCUGGAGCUCAACUCCAGAACUGCCUUCGAUACUGGCGAUCUUGGAGUCCGGGAGAGGUGAGUGGAACUGCGAGUGUAGAGGUGAAAUUCGUAGAUAUUCGCAAGAACACCAGUGGCGAAGGCAGCUCACUGGCCCGGUACUGACGCUGAGGUGCGAAAGCGUCGGGAGCCAACAUG